CCUAUCUGGUUGAUCCUGCCAGUAGUGAUAUGCUUGUCUAAAAGCUAAGCCAUGCAUGUGCAAGUCCAAGCUUAGAUGGCUUCUGACGCUUGCGUUGGUUGUUGUCUUGGCUAAACCGCCAACGGCUCAUUAAAUCGGUCCUUGUCCAAAAGUGCUUGACCAAGUUAUUCAUAUGCUUAUGGAUAACCGUGGCAAAUCCAGAGCUAAUACAUGCAACUCAAAGUCCCGAUGAACUCCGCGCAAGUGGUUUCUCUGACGGAUGCUUUUAUUAGACCGCACGCCCGGGCUUUUACUGUCUGGGCGUGUUUGGUGACUCUGGAUAACGUACCACAGUGCUGCCUAGUGCGAACAACUUGGUUGUUUGCGCUCGCACUUUCGAGCGUCUGCCUUAUCAGCUAUCAAUCGAUUGUUACGUGCAACCGAUGGCAUUUACGGGUAACGGGGAAUCUGAGUUCGGUUCCGGAGAGGCAGCCUGAGAAACGGCUACCACGUCUAAGGACGGCAGCAGGCGCGCAAAUUAUCCAAUCCCAGCACGAGGGAGAGGUUGAGCUAGGGCUGCAUGCACCUCCGGGUGUGUGAGUGUGUCCUUUCUUGUGCCUCUUUCUCCUAGGGUGAGGUAGUGACAAUACAUAACGAUGCGUUUACUCCCUCGUUGGAGUUUCGCAAUCGGAAUGUAGGGGCUUUGGCGUUGCGUUUGUGGGCGCAAGUUCGCACGCGCGCGCCAGUCGUAAAAACUCCUGUGAGAAUCUACUGAAGGGCAAGUCUGGUGCCAGCAGCCGCGGUAAUUCCAGCUUCAGUGGCAUCUAUUAAUGUUGCUGCGGUUAAAAGGCUCGUCGUUGGGUAUCACAAACGAGAGCAAAACGGCGUUCUGGAGGUGAGCUGCAUUGAUGCGCGCGCGCUUGCGUGUGUGUGUUGUGCCUAACGUUCGCUUCUGUUCGUGUGUGAGCUCGAGUCGCAAAUUGCUAAGCGUUGCGGACGCAAGUAGGUGUUAGUUUUUGCGCGCCUUCGCGGGUGUGUGAUGCUGAUGCUCUUGCGUGCGCGGUUUUGUAAAGACACCGUGAACAAAUCAGAGUGCUCCAAGCAGUCUGGGGUUAACGUGAGCUUGUGUGUUGUGCAACUACAUACUUUCGGGUGUGUUUUCUACGCCAUUCUCUGUUUCCUCCCUUUAAAUCUGUACGUUUGGGUUGAGUUUCGGCUCUUCUUGGGCGUACGGAGACUGUCUUGAAUUUGCACGGCAAAGUCUGACGAGGUCGUUGCUGUUGUGCAUUCGGUUAUCCAAGUGUUUUACACAUGAGGAUUUCUUACUUGCGUAACACGAACGAAAUGAUCAAGAGAACUUGACUCGAUGGCAUUGGUAUUGCUCGGCGAGAGGUGAAAUUCUAUGACCCUUGCAAGACCACCUGAAGCGAAAGCGUCUGCCAAGGAUGUUUUCAUUAAUCAUGAACGAAAGUCAGAGGUUCGAAGGCGAUCAGAUACCGCCCUAGUUCUGACCGUAAACGAUAACGACCAUCAAUUCGUGAGUCGUACCAACACUCGACGUUGCAUGCGCGACGGACGCUCAGGCGUUCUAGUUCGUGCUUCGUCGAUGGUCGCCACGAGCAGCUCCUUCACACACGGUAAACCAGAGUUUCUGGAUUCCGGGGGGAGUCUGGUUGCAAAUCUGAAACUUAAAGGAAUUGACGGAAAGGCACCACCAGGCGUGGCACUGCGGCUUAAUUUGACUCAACACGGGUAAUCUCACCAGGCCAACACGCUGGCACGAUUGACAGAGCGAGAGAUCUUUCUUGAUUCGGUGGAAGGUGGUGCAUGGCCGUUCUUAGUUGGUGGAGUGAUUUGUCUGGUUAAUUCCGAUAACGAACGAGACUCUCCCCUGCUAAUAACAAAAGCGCGCGUCGUGAGGGCUCCGGUCUUUGCGCGUGUGUCUUCUAGACACGUCUGGAUCUCGAAGUAACAAAACGGUAUCUCUACCUCACGGUGGGGAUCCGCUAAGAGUCCAGAUAGUUACGGCAGUGUGGCGAGGCUUGCUUGUGUUUGCACGUGCUUGCACGCGUGGAUGCUCGCUUGCCGAGCCGUCGUUGCAGUGACAAAGUCUUCUUAGAGGGAUAACCGGCGUCCUAUAAAGCCGUUCGAAACCGAGAGCAAUAACAGGUCUGUGAUGCCCCUAGAUGUUCUGGGCCGCACGCGCGCUACAAUGCCGGGUUCAACAGGUUUUUUAGGGCCCAGCGGGCACACGUACGCGUGUUGGGCAGCAAUGCUCUUUCAUGCUGUGAGUUCGCUGUUGUGCACCUUUUUCUUCUCCGUCAGGAUGUCGAUUAAGGGUAAGCCUUUGAAAUCCCGCGCAGUUGAAGUUUUGUGUGUGCGGUGGUAGCGCUUCAUGCGUGAUAACACUGCAUGCAUGACUCAGAACAUCACACAUUCGUGCUUACGCAGCUUGUGUUUUCUGGCUUGAUGGGGCCUGGGUCUUGAAAUUAUUACCCACAAACGAGGAUGCCUAGUAGCAGCAGAUCACUGAAUCUGUUGUGAUUCAGUCCCUGCCUUUGUACACACCGCCCGUCGCUACUACCGAUUGGGUGCGCAAGUGAGAACCUUGGACUGGGAGCUUGUAUAUUGGUGUGAGAGCGUGUAGACUCGAAGAGUUCGAACUUGUGUACUAGAGGAAGUAAAAGUCGUAACAAGGUUUUCGUAGGUGAACUGCGGAAGGAUCAUUA
rnacentral:rRNA from 1 species